UACGGAGGGUGCGAGCGUUGUCCGGAAUCACUGGGCGUAAAGAGCUCGUAGGUGGUUUGUCGCGUUGUUCGUGAAAACUCACAGCUCAACUGUGGGCGUGCGGGCGAUACGGGCAGACUGGAGUACUGCAGGGGAGACUGGAAUUCCUGGUGUAGCGGUGGAAUGCGCAGAUAUCAGGAGGAACACCGGUGGCGAAGGCGGGUCUCUGGGCAGUAACUGACGCUGAGGAACGAAAGCUAGGGGAGCAAACAGG
rnacentral:rRNA from 1 species